ACUGCUCAGUAACACGUGGACAACCUACCCUUGGGUCUGGCAUAAUCCUGGGAAACUGGGUAUAAUUCCAGAUAGGUCACAGAUGCUGGAAUGCACUGUGGCCGAAAGCUCCGGCGCCCAAGGAUGGGUCUGCGGCCUAUCAGGGUUGUAGUGGGUGUAACGGACCUACUAGCCUACGACGGGUACGGGUUGUGAGAGCAAGAGCCCGGAGAUGGAUUCUGAGACAUGAAUCCAGGCCCUACGGGGCGCAGCAGGCGCGAAAACUUUACAAUGCGGGAAACCGUGGUAAGGGAACCCCGAGUGCCUGUAUAUGCAGGCUGUCCAGGUGUCUAAAAAACACCUGAAGAAAGGGCCGGGCAAGACCGGUGCCAGCCGCCGCGGUAAUACCGGCGGCUCGAGUGGUGGCCACUUUUAUUGGGCUUAAAGCGUUCGUAGCUGGGUUGUUAAGUCUCUUGGGAAAUCUGACGGCUCAACCGUCAGGCGUCCAAGGGAUACUGGCAAUCUUGGAACCGGGAGAGGUGAGGGGUACUUCGGGGGUAGGAGUGAAAUCCUGUAAUCCUCGAGGGACCACCUGUGGCGAAGGCGCCUCACCAGAACGGCUUCGACAGUGAGGGACGAAAGCUGGGGGAGCAAACCGGAUUAGAUACCCGGGUAGUCCCAGCCGUAAACGAUGCGCGUUAGGUGUAUCGGUGACCACGAGUCACCGAGGUGCCGAAGGGAAACCGUGAAACGUGCCGCCUGGGAAGUACGGUCGCAAGGCUGAAACUUAAAGGAAUUGGCGGGGGAGCAC
rnacentral:rRNA from 1 species